rnacentral:rRNA from 1 species
ACGGAAUAGAUACCCAGGUAGUCCACGCCCUAAACGAUGUCUACUAGUUGUUGGUGGAGUAAAGUCCAUGAGUAAACGCAGCUAAACGCGUGAAGUAGACCGCCUGGGGAGUACGGUCGCAAGAUUAAAACUCAAAUGAAUUGACGGGGGCCCGCACAAGCGGUGGAUUAUGUGGAUUAAUUCGAUGCAACGCGAAAAACCUUACCUGGCCUUGACAUGUAACGAACUUUCCAGAGAUGGAUUGGUGCUCGAAAGAGAACGUUAACACAGGUGCUGCAUGGCUGUCGUCAGCUCGUGUCGUGAGAUGUUGGGUUAAGUCCCGCAACGAGCGCAACCCUUGCCAUUAAUUGCCAUCAUUUAGUUGGGCACUUUAAUGGGACUGCCGGUGACAAACCGGAGGAAGGUGGGGAUGACGUCAAGUCCUCAUGGCCCUUAUGGCCAGGGCUUCACACGUAAUACAAUGGUCGGUACAGAGGGUUGCCAACCCGCGAGGGGAGCCAAUCCCAGAAAGCCGAUCGUAGUCCGGAUUGUAGUCUGCAACUCGAC